rnacentral:rRNA from 1 species
AACGAACGCUGGCGGCAUGCCUAACACAUGCAAGUCGAACGAGACCUUCGGGUCUAGUGGCGCACGGGUGCGUAACGCGUGGGAACCUGCCCUUAGGUUCGGAAUAACUCCCCGAAAGGGGUGCUAAUACCGGAUAAUGUCUUCGGACCAAAGAUUUAUCGCCUUUGGAUGGGCCCGCGUUGGAUUAGCUAGUUGGUAGGGUAAAAGCCUACCAAGGCGACGACCCAUAGCUGGUCUGAGAGGAUGAUCAGCCACACUGGGACUGAGACACGGCCCAGACUCCUACGGGAGGCAGCAGUGGGGAAUAUUGGACAAUGGGCGAAAGCCUGAUCCAGCAAUGCCGCGUGAGUGAUGAAGGCCUUAGGGUUGUAGAGCUCUUUUACCCGGGAUGAUAAUGACAGUACCGGGAGAAUAAGCUCCGGCUAACUCCGUG